AGGGUUGUAGCUCAGUGGUAGAGCACUUGCCUUGCAAGCGUGAGGCACUGGGAUAGAUUCUCAGCACCACAG
rfam:Ictidomys tridecemlineatus contig071183, whole genome shotgun sequence.